rnacentral:rRNA from 1 species
AGCGAACGCUGGCGGCAGGCUUAACACAUGCAAGUCGAGCGGGCGUAGCAAUACGUCAGCGGCAGACGGGUGAGUAACGCGUGGGAACGUACCUUUUGGUUCGGAACAACACGGGGAAACUUGUGCUAAUACCGGAUAAGCCCUUACGGGGAAAGAUUUAUCGCCGAAAGAUCGGCCCGCGUCUGAUUAGCUAGUUGGUGAGGUAACGGCUCACCAAGGCGACGAUCAGUAGCUGGUCUGAGAGGAUGAUCAGCCACAUUGGGACUGAGACACGGCCCAAACUCCUACGGGAGGCAGCAGUGGGGAAUAUUGGACAAUGGGCGCAAGCCUGAUCCAGCCAUGCCGCGUGAGUGAUGAAGGCCCUAGGGUUGUAAAGCUCUUUUGUGCGGGAAGAUAAUGACGGUACCGCAAGAAUAAGCCCCGGCUAACUUCGUGCCAGCCGCCGCGGUAAGAC